UACGGAGGGUGCAAGCGUUAUCCGGAUUUACUGGGUUUAAAGGGUGCGCAGGCGGAUAUGUAAGUCAGUGGUGAAAUCUCCGGGCUUAACCCGGAAACUGCCGUUGAUACUAUAUAUCUUGAAUGCUGUGGAGGUAAGCAGAAUAUGUCAUGUAGCGGCGAAAUGCUUAGAGAUGACAUAGAAUACCUAUUGCGAAGGCAGCUUACUACGCAGAUAUUGACGCUCAUGCACGAAAGCGUGGGGAUCAAACAGG
rnacentral:rRNA from 1 species